GAAGCACGGUUCCCGGGACUUAUCUCCCUUGUAACUACACCGCGGCCAUUUCCCGACUCAAGCACAGGAGAAAAACCAUAGAGCCAGACUCAUCGAGGAAAAAAAGGGAGAGGAUGCAAAUCAAUAAAAUCAGAAAUGAAAAAGGAGAAAUCACAACUGACACUGUAGAAAUACAGAAGAUUAUAAGAGACUGCUACAAACAACUAUAUGCCAAUAAAAUGGACAACCACGAAGAAAUGGACAAAUUCUUGGAAAAGUAAAAUUUUCCAAGACUGAACCAGGAAGAAUUAGAAAAUAUGAACAGACCAAUCACAAGCACUGAAAUUGAAACUGUGAUGAAAAAUCUUCCAACAAACAAAAGUCCAGGACCAGAUGGCUUCACAAGUGAAUUCUAUCAAACAUUUAGAGAAGAUCUAACACCUGUCCUUCUCAAACUCUUCAAAAAAUUGCAGAGGGAAAAACACUCCCAAAUUCAUUCUAUGAGGCCACCAUCACCCUGAUACCAAAACCAGAAAAAGAUAUCACAC